rnacentral:lncRNA from 10 species
GCACUAACAGCCUGAGAGAAAAGGACACUGCAUAUCACAGAGAGAUGCAUAGAUGUUACACUCAGAAAGAGAGUGAACAACUAGAAGAUGUGGAAGAACCAGUUUGGCUCUGGAGUCAAGAAUUCUCAAAACAGCUUUCUGAACCUGAAUCGCACGCAGUAAAGCUGGUGUUCUCCUGAAGCCAACAUUUAUGGUAUCACCUUGCUGAUCCAGGCAAAAUGGCAAAAGUGUAGUGAACAUAAAGCCAGGGGCUGAGAUUGUGGAUGUCCUCUGUACCAAGUUUCUUAUUAUGGUAAGGGUAGAAGUUCACCAGGCUUAGAAUAUAAACUGACACCUUGAAGAAGUGACCAUCUUGUAAUCAACACUUUAUUCUAAGGAUAACAGAGAUAAAUGAUAUAAGGAUCUCUGUUUCUUAAUGGCAUUGUUGAGCCCUAAACUUUCUACUGCUAGAUAUUUUAUCGCAUGAAAUAAAUAAGCCUUAGUUGCUUAAAAUA